GUCAUUACACCCCUCGAGCUCAGCUCGGUAUUGAGGGAAUCGCCCCCCCGGGCGCCCUCGAAAUUUAGCGGUGACUUGGUUGGUCUUCGAGCGAAUCAAACUUCAAACGUUCCGCUUUCGAAGAGUCCAGCUGGUCGGCCGGACAAACUACAGAAUCUACGAUUGACCUCGGAUCAGGUAGGGAUACCCGCUGAACUUAA
rnacentral:misc_RNA from 1 species